AUACACACAUACACACACAUAUAUGUACGUAUGCAUAAAUGUAUAUGUAUAUAUAUGUGUGUGUGUAUAAAUAU
rnacentral:miRNA from 1 species